AGCUUGCCAAAAAAAAUACCCAAAAAAUAUAAAUGUUGCCUCACCUUGAAGGCAUAUGAAAUCCUGGCUAACAGUCACAUAAAACUACGACUACGACCACGACAAUAUAUAUAUAUAUAUAUAUAAAUGUAUGUGAACUGGAGCGAGCUAGAACGAACACGUAGAUGUCGCAGACAGUAUUUCCUUUUGGAAAACGCAGUUUGGAGUCGACUUUUUAGUACGAAAUUUUUAUGUGUGGCUCCAAGUCGUCGACAAUCGAAAGUCGAGCGUGGAACGCCCACAGCAACAACUGAAAAUGCUUGCAAAAAAUUCCAAAAGUCGAAACAGCGACAGGAUUGCCAAGUAAUGCAAAUUCGUAACGAAGUUGGCAAGCGAUGUCAUCUACAAAUGUUCAUGGAGAAUAAUAUAUAUUAAUAUCAUUUAUGCAAGGAGAAUAAUAUAUAUUAAUAUCUGACGUAUGUAGUAUAUAACAUAUUAUCGAGCAGUGUCUCUAUUUGUGACUGCCUGUAUGUCCGACCAAAUAAAUAUCUAGAUAUCCGAGACUAAAGUUACCAAGUUUUGCGUACUGCAAAUUGAAUUAGUUGUAAAUAAAAAUAUGUACUAUAGAGUUGAAUCUGUAUAUGUA